rnacentral:rRNA from 2 species
GACAGAGGGUGCAAACGUUGUUCGGAAUUACUGGGCGUAAAGCGCGUGUAGGCGGCCCUGCAAGUCGGGUGUGAAAUCCCACGGCUCAACCGUGGAAGUGCACUCGAAACUGCAGGGCUAGAGUCCUGGAGAGGAAGGUGGAAUGCUUGGUGUAGAGGUGAAAUUCGUAGAUAUCAAGCGGAACACCGGUGGCGAAGGCGGCCUUCUGGACAGUGACUGACGCUGAGACGCGAAAGCGUGGGGAGCAAAC